rnacentral:rRNA from 1 species
CUUGACAUCCAGAGAAUUUAGCAGAGAUGCUUUAGUGCCUUCGGGAACUCUGAGACAGGUGCUGCAUGGCUGUCGUCAGCUCGUGUUGUGAAAUGUUGGGUUAAGUCCCGCAACGAGCGCAACCCUUAUCCUUUGUUGCCAGCACGUAAUGGUGGGAACUCAAAGGAGACUGCCGGUGAUAAACCGGAGGAAGGUGGGGAUGACGUCAAGUCAUCAUGGCCCUUACGAGUAGGGCUACACACGUGCUACAAUGGCGUAUACAAAGAGAAGCGACCUCGCGAGAGCAAGCGGACCUCAUAAAGUGCGUCGUAGUCCGGAUUGGAGUCUGCAACUCGACUCCAUGAAGUCGGAAUCGCUAGUAAUCGUAAAUCAGAAUGUUACGGUGAAUACGUUCCCGGGCCUUGUACACACCGCCCGUCACACCAUGGGAGUGGGUUGCAAAAGAAGUAGAUAGCUUAACCUUCGGGAGGGCGUUUACCACUUUGUGAUUCAUGACUGGGGUGAAGUCGUAACAAGGUAAGCGUAGUGCU